rnacentral:rRNA from 1 species
UACGUAGGGUGCGAGCGUUGUCCGGAAUUACUGGGCGUAAAGAGCUCGUAGGUGGUUUGUCGCGUUGUUCGUGAAAUCUCACGGCUUAACUGUGAGCGUGCGGGCGAUACGGGCAGACUUGAGUACUGCAGGGGGAGACUGGAAUUCCUGGUGUAGCGGUGGAAUGCGCAGAUAUCAGGAGGAACACCGGUGGCGAAGGCGGGGUCUCUGGGGCAGUAACUGACGCUGAGGAGCGAAAAGCGUGGGGGAGCGAACAGG